GGCUCUCUGUCAAUGAAACACAUCCAAAGAGGGCUUUUAGAGGCUAGUCCUGCUGUCCUGGGCGCUAUAAUUCCCCUUAUCUUGCCCCCUCACAAGACUUUCCGCAGUGACAUCUAUUUUCUUCUUAUUCCAUCUACAGCAUGUGGGAUCUAGUUCCCUGACCAGGGAGCAUGGAGUCUUAGCUGCUGGACCACCAGGGAGGUCCCUGCUCUCUGUGACCUUGACUGACGUUACUUGGCACCUUCCAACUUGGUGAAUCAACUUGCACGACUUGAAGGAUCUAGGUUCCCUGACCACGUAUUGAAGCGGGGCCACGGCAGUGAAAACCUGGAAUUCUAAGCACUAGGCAAGCGGGGAACUCCCCUGACCAUGGAUUUUAAUCAUACUGGCAAACUAUCUUCAAAGUACUACCCGUACUAGUGUUUGAUUGAGCAACUGGAGAUCGUAGCCUAGCGAAACUGACACAUAAAACUGACCAUCACAAGUAUGAUGGUAUUAUGGGUAUGUGCAAAAACAUCUUUGUUCUCAGAAGAUACAGCUUGAAAAAGUUAAGGACCCAUGUGAUUACCUUGGACCUACCUGCAUAACCCAAGAUAAUCUCACCGUCUCAGGAUCCUUCACUGAACUACAUCUGCAAAAUCAAAGAGAUCUACUGACCAUAACCCUGACUGAUGUUGCUGCUGCUGCUGCUAAGUCGCUUCAGUCGUGUCUGACUCUGUGCGACCCCAUGGACUUCAGCGCACCAGGCUUCUCCGUCCAUGGGAUUCUCCAGGCAAGAACACUGGAGUGGGUUGCCAUUUCCUUCUCCAAUGCAUGAAAGUGGAAAGUGAAAGUGAAGUCGCUCAGUCGUGUCUGACUCUUAGCAACCCCAUGGACUGCAGCCUACCAGGCUCCUCCAUCCAUGGGGUUUUCUGGGCAACAGUACUGGAGUGGGGUGCCAUUGCCUUCUCCCCUGACUGAUGUAGUAGGUUAUAAAAAUGAAUUAAAACCAAUAUGCCAUUUUAAAAAAUUUGCAAUAAGGCAAUGCAAUUUGUGGCUCACAUUGUAAGUUAUUUUAUUGUUGAAGCCAGUAUGUAGUUGGAUAAGGCAGUAUUUCCCCUGAGCGUGGGAGCACAGAGAAACCCUGGUGUUCUGUCUUGGAGAAUAAUUAUAGUGGAAGUUAGCAUAAGAAUCUGAAAAAACUUAAUUUUUUUGACACCCUAAACAAACUUUUUCAAUUUAUUUUGUAAAAGAAGAAGGUAAAUAACACUAAAUACUAAUUGGUCCAACAGCCAGUCAUUUUAUUUUUUUAAAUAAGAGAUUUAUAAUAGUAAACAUUUUAUAAAAUGAAAUAAAUGAAAUUUUACUCUAAAAUAAAUGUUUCAUGAUAUGUAAUAAAAUAUGUUUUAAGUAGACUGUUAACAAUACACACUGAAUCUCAGAAAAUGUUACCUAUAUGUUCAUUCCAUUGUAUCUUGAAAGUGAAUGUCACUCAGUCGUGUCCGACUCUUUUCGACCCCAUGGACUAGUUCAUGGAAUUCUCCAGGCCAGAAUACUGGAGUGGGUAGCCUUUCCCUUCUCCAGGGGAUCUUCCCAAUCCAGGGAUUGAACCCAGGCCUCCCUCAUUGCAGGCAGAUUCUUUACCAGCUGAGCCACCAGCAAAUCUGAAAAAUAUUCUUAUUACAUUUAAAAGACUCAGCAUCACUAAUCUUUACUGUUUUGGCUGCUCAAAGUUGCUUUUCUUUCCAGCUAAUGACAAGUUUUAGGCAUGAGUAUUGAGAACAGCAGGAAAUAC
ensembl:lncRNA